AGCGAACGCUGGCGGUAGGCCUAACACAUGCAAGUCGAACGAUGAACGAGGGAGCUUGCUCCCUCCGGAUCAGUGGCGAACGGGUGAGUAACACGUGAGCAAUCUGCCCUGGACUCUGGGAUAAGCGUUGGAAACGACGUCUAAUACCGGAUACGAGACGCGAAGGCAUCUUCAGCGUAUGGAAAGAACUUCGGUCCAGGAUGAGCUCGCGGCAUAUCAGGUAGUUGGUGAGGUAACGGCACACCAAGCCUACGACGGGUAGCUGGCCUGAGAGUGUGAGCGGCCACACUGGGACUGAGACACGGCCCAGACUCCUACGAGAGGCAGCAGUGGGGAUUAUUUCACGAUGGGCGCAAUCCUGAUGCAGCAACGCCGCGUGAGGGACGACGGCCUUCGGGUUGUAACCCUCUUUUAGCAGAGAAGAAGCGAAAGUGACGGUCCCUGCAGAAAAAGCACCGGCUAACUACGUGCCAGCCGCCGCUGUAACAC
rnacentral:rRNA from 1 species